UACGAAGGGGGCGAGCGUUGUUCGGAAUUACUGGGCGUAAAGGGCGCGUAGGCGGCGACCCAAGUCAGAUGUGAAAGUCCUGGGCUUAACCUGGGGACUGCAUUUGAUACUGGGUUGCUUGAAUUCGGGAGAGGAUAGCGGAAUUCCCAGUGUAGAGGUGAAAUUCGUAGAUAUUGGGAAGAACACCGAUGGCGAAGGCAGCCCCCUGGGUCAAGAUUGACGCUCAUGCACGAAAGCGUGGGGAGCAAACAGG
rnacentral:rRNA from 1 species